GAUGAACGCUGGCGGCGUGCCUAAUACAUGCAAGUCGAGCGAACGGGCGAGAAGCUUGCUUCUCUGAUGUUAGCGGCGGACGGGUGAGUAACACGUGGAUAACCUACCUAUAAGACUGGGAUAACUUCGGGAAACCGGAGCUAAUACCGGAUAAUAUUUUGAACCGCAUGGUUCAAAAGUGAAAGACGGUCUUGCUGUCACUUAUAGAUGGAUCCGCGCUGCAUUAGCUAGUUGGUAAGGUAACGGCUUACCAAGGCAACGAUGCAUAGCCGACCUGAGAGGGUGAUCGGCCACACUGGAACUGAGACACGGUCCAGACUCCUACGGGAGGCAGCAGUAGGGAAUCUUCCGCAAUGGGCGAAAGCCUGACGGAGCAACGCCGCGUGAGUGAUGAAGGUCUUCGGAUCGUAAAACUCUGUUAUUAGGGAAGAACAUAUGUGUAAGUAACUGUGCACAUCUUGACGGUACCUAAUCAGAAAGCCGCGGCUAACUACGUG
rnacentral:rRNA from 1 species